CGCGGGUUGGAGCAGUCUGGUAGCUCGUCGGGCUCAUAACCCGAAGGUCGUUGGUUCAAAUCCAGCACCCGCAACCA
rnacentral:tRNA from 3 species